AAGCUACCAUCUGUCGGAUUAUGUCUGAACGCCUCUAAGUCAGAAUCCGUGCUAGAAAGCAACAAUAAUUACCUCUGUGGAUAUUACACCGCAUAACAAUAGCCCGCAAGGGCCUAUAUCAUACCUGGCUUCGGCCUGAUAUUAAUUCCAAAUAUACACGGAGAUAAAUCCUUUGUAGACGACUUAAUUUGGAACUGGGUAUUGUAAGCAGUAGAGCAGCCUUGUUGCUGCGAUCUGCUGAGAUUCAUCCC
rnacentral:rRNA from 1 species